ensembl:lncRNA
UUUGUUUUUUUUUUUUUUUUUUAGGUUCAAGGAGGGUUCUGCGGCGGCGCCCACCUUGGAAGCCGGCGGUGGGGAGGAAAACAGGCGGCAUCCUCCCAAACCUCCCACUUUUGGGGAGUUUCUCACCCCACAUCGCGCUCCACGUAGGAAAAAGGGCCGGGGCCAGGGCGGUGGGACCAAACCCUACAGGUGAGGGGGAGGUGCGACGGGGUGGAGGGGGGGGGGGGCGCUCCUCUCUGAACUCCUCUUUUUCCCUGGAUUUUGUUUUCUGAGCUGUUGGGAUCACCUUUCUCCCCCCUUCUCCCCGCCAGCAUGCAUGACAACCGGUGGGAAGAGAAGGAGCUGCUGGCGCCGAGCGAGGAAGCCGAGAUCCGGAGGGUAAAACGCCAGAGGGGGGAAAUGUGGGGGGGUCUUUGGCUGUGGGGCCCUUCUCCCCCCUCUGAUGCCCCUCCAAAUCUGUGCCCCUAGGCAGAGGAAACACCUCAUGGGGCCCUUCUCCCCCCACCCUCGACACCCCCAAAUCGGUGUCCCCAGGCAGAGGAAACACUUCGUGGGGCCCUAUUCCCCCCCUGACACCCCCGAAUCUGUGCCUGCAGGCAGAGGAAAUCCCCAGCGGGGCCCCCCCGGAGCCCCCCGCUUCCCUGAGCCCAGAGGAGGAUGAGGACCAGUGGGAGGAUGUCAGCGAGGAAGAGGAGGAGGAAGAGGAGGAGGAGGAAGAGGAAGGCAGCCCAGAAUUGUCAAACGAGGCUGAACCCCCCCGCAGUGCGUCCCCCAAAGCCCAGCGUCCCCCCAGAAUCGGGCAGGCUGUGCCUCCCCAACUGCCCCUGUCCCCCAGCGCCCCAGAGAGGGGGGGCUGCACCCCCCUCAGUCCCUUCUCCCCACUGGGAGGCCACCAGCCUGUCCCGGACUGGGCCGAGGAGAUGGACCUGGCCUCCCCCCGCAGCAGCCUCGGGGACAGUCCCCUUUCAGGUCCCACUGUCCCCAAGGCGAGAGGGGCCCCCGGAGAGACUCCAGGGCUGAGCCCCAUGGAGCUGACGGGCCCCCCCAGCGGGGUGCAGAGCCCCACAGGCCCCCCCCCGGGGGAAGAAGUGAGACCCAACAUAGAACAAGAAGCUCUGGAGAAGCCAGAGGAGGCGGCGGGGAGCCUGGCAGAGGACGGGACACAAGGUGGCCAUGGGAAUACGGGGAGGGGGGGGCUGCACCCCGUGGGGGCCCCCCCACCUUGUGUCCCCCAAACUGGGGGGUUCCUGUGACCUGGGAGGGGGGGUCACCUGAAGUUGGAGGGAGUCACCUGCAAGCUGGGGGGGCUUCUGGUAGCUGGGGAGGGUUCUUUUUACCCAGGGGGGGUGUCCUGUGACCCAGGGGGUGGAUUCAGACCCCCAUUUCUUCUAUAUUUUGGGUGGUUUUCCCCUUUCUCCAGGCCCAGCGGCCGUUGUGGAGGUUGCCCCUGGCUCAGUGGAGAUCACAGAUUUCCAGCGGGUGCGUUUCCGUAAGAAUUCCCAUUCUCCAGCUGAUCGCUAACAAGGGGAGGGGACUGACCCCCCACACCCUCCGGGGCUCUGUCUGUCCUGUCUGUCCGUCCGUCCUUCCCGUCUCCGCUUCAGCCUCUGACGCUGCCGGACUGACUCCGCCUGCGAACCCCCAGGAGCUGCCGGGCUUCGGGAUUCUGGUGGUUUGGGGUUUUUUGGGGGGGGGGGGGGGGCCGCCCCCACCCCGGGAUAAGCGGUGGGUAGUGGGUGCUGCGGCUGCCAUGUCUGUCCGUCCGUCCGUCCUUCCCGUCUCCGCUUCAGUCUCUGAUGCUGCCGGACUGACUCCACCUGUGAAACCCCCCGGAGCUGCCGUGCUUGUGCUCUGGGAUUCCGGUGUUUUUUGGUUUUGGUUUUUUUUGUGGUUUGGAAGGCGAUGGGUGCUGUGGCUGCUGCAUCUGUCCAUCUGUCUGUCCAUCUGUCCGUCCGCCCUGCAUUAAAACUCUUUUUCACACACACCACCCCCCCCCCACCCCGAAACAGCCCCAGGGACUGGUUUCUCUCCCUGUAGAGAUGGGGGGAAGGACGUGGGGCCAGGAUGAUGACGCUCUGGGCUUGGAAAACUGGGGGAGGCAAAGUACAGGCUUCCCCCUCCAGGCCAAUCUGUGGGGCAGGAUCAGGCCCCAUGGCUAGCAGGAGGGUACAGGCAGGGACAGGACUCGCCCCCCCACCCCCCUUCACGCCGCCUCCUUCUUCUCUCCUCCCGACAGGCCGGCUGAGCCCCCCGAUGUCCUCCGUCACCCGGGUCACUCCUGCUGUGACCCCUCCAGCUUUCUAGAGACUGUGAGCCGGUGGGAAUAACCCCGGGGGGGGGGCAUCCCCCCCUCCCCCACAAGUACCACCUAUCUGCACCCCCUUGGGGGGUCUGGCCCUCACUGGNNNNNNNNNNNNNNNNNNNNNNNNNNNNNNNNNNNNNNNNNUGUAAAAUAAACCUCCAAAACAUCUUUGCA